rnacentral:rRNA from 1 species
AAGUCGUAACAAGGUUUCCGUAGGUGAACCUGCGGAAGGAUCAUUAAUGAGUUUGCGCGGUCGCUGCUGGUUCCUACAAGUGCACACCGUGUCUUUCUUAUCCACCCCACUGUGCAUCCCGGUAUGCUCGAUUUCGAGCAUAGUCCUUUUACGCAAAACCUAAUCUGUAAUAGAACGUGCGCAUAAUGGCAAUUGUAAUACAACUAUCAACAACGGAUCUCUUGGCAUCCCACUCGAUGAAGAACGCAGCGAAUUGCGAUAAGUAAUGUGAAUUGCAGAAUUCAGUGAAUCAUCGAAUCUUUGAACGCACCUUGCACCCUCUGGUAUUCCGGAGGGUAUGCCCGGUUGAGUAUUAUGAUCAACUCAAGCCUUUGGUUUUCUAAUUGCAAAGGUCGGAUGCUCGGCGAAGCUGUCUGUAGGGACGGUGGUAGCUGAAGUUCGACUUGGAAUUCCUAAUGGCAUUGGACUUGAGCGUGUGUCGGUCUCUAAUUGGGAUCGGCUCGCUUGAAAUGCAUUAGCUGGCGGACCCGCCUUACGGUUCCACUCGACGUAGUAAGUCUUAUUCGUUGAGGACACUUUCAAUUGAGAAGGUGGCCGUUUGGUGUUGGUAAUAGAAGCUGCUUCUAAUCGUCCUAGGACAAUGAUUUGAACGUUUAAUCUCAACUCGGGUAGGACUACCCGCUGAACUUAAGCAUAUCAAUAAGCGGAGGAAAAGAAACUAACAAGGAUUCCCCUAGUAACGGCGAGUGAAGCGGGAUGAGCUCAAAUUUCAAAUCUGGCGUUCUCCGGGCGUCCGAGUUGUAAUCUAGAGAAGCGUUUUCUGCGUUAGACCGACCAUAAGUUAUCUCGAACGGUACAUCAUAGAGGGUGAGAAUCCCGUAUGUUGGUCGGAGCCUAGGGCUAUACGAUGCGCUCUCGACGAGUCGAGUUGUUUGGGAAUGCAGCUCAAAAUGGGAGGUAAAUUCCUUCUAAAGCUAAAUACAUUGGGAUGACCGAUAGCGAACAAGUACCGUGAGGGAAAGAUGAAAAGCACUUUGGAAAGAGAGUCAAACAGUACGUGAAAUUGUUGGUAGGGAAACGCUUGAAGUCAGUCGCGUCUCUCGGGACUCAGCCUUGCUUCUGCUUGGUGUAUUUCCCGGUUGACGGGCCAGCGUCCAUUUCGUUCGCUGGAAAAGGGCGGUUUGAAUGUAGCAGCUUCGGCUGUGUUAUAGCUUACCGUCGUACACGGCGUUUGGGAUGGAACUUACAGCACGCUUUCAGCGGUGCUUGUGUUGGCGUAAUGGCUUUAAACGACC